GUCGAGAAUUUUUCACAAUGGGGGCAACCCUGAUGGAGCGACGCCGCGUGGAGGAUGAAGGGAUUCGUCCUGUAAACUCCUGUCACUGGGGAAAAAUGCUUUUUAUUUAAUACAUAGAAAGUUGAUGUUACCCAGAGAGGAAGAGACGGCUAACUCUGUGCCAGCAGCCGCGGUAAUACAGAGGUCUCAAGCGUUGUUCGGAUUUACUGGGCGUAAAGGGUGCGUAGGAGGUUUUUUAAGUCGAAUGUGAAAUCUCGCAGCUCAACUGCGAAACUGCAUUCGAUACUGAAGAGCUAGAGGGUCGGAGAGGUUGCUGGAAUUCUCGGUGUAGCGGUGAAAUGCGUAGAGAUCGAGAGGAACACCAAUGGCGUAAGCAAGCAACUGGAAGAACCCUGACUCUGAGGCACGAAAGCUAGGGGAGCAAACGGGAUUAGAAACCCCUGUAGUCC
rnacentral:rRNA from 1 species